rnacentral:tRNA from 1 species
CAAUUUAAAGCUUAUUAAGUAAAGCAUUUCAUUUACACUGAAAAGUUUACUGUGCAAGUCAGUAUAAAUUGA